rnacentral:rRNA from 1 species
CUGCAGCCCGAGUGGUGAUCGAUUUUAUUGAGCCUAAAGCGUCCGUAGCCGGACUAGUAAACCCUUGGGUAAAUUGGGCAGCUUAACUGUCCAAAUUCCGAGGGGACUGCUAGUCUUGGGACUGGGAGAGGUCAGAGGUACUCAAGGGGUAGGGUCUAAAUCCUGUAAUCCUUUGGGGACCACCAGUGGCGAAGGCGUCUGACUAGAACGGAUCCGACGGUAAGGGACGAAACCCUGGGGCGCGAACCGGAUUAGAUACCCGAGUAGUCC